UUCAGUUCCCUGGAACCAUUCCAGUACCAACAGCUGUAUCAGAGAGGGUUCGGUCAGGGAAGUGCACUCACCCUGAGUAUAUAAAACAAAUACUUUAAUAUAGAAAUUGGAUCUUACACAACUGUGAAAGAAAUUGGGAAAUAAAGGUGAAGUAGGGAAAACCAGUUGAUCAGAAGAGCCGCUAACCCGUCAACCUGAAGUCAAGAACAAUCAGCCUCUGAAGUAUAACCGCAAAUAAGAAGCUUGUGGAAAGAGCCCAGAUGUGAUCUAAGAAGCUUUCUCUAUGAAGCAUUCAAAGGAGCUGCUACCAAUCAGUCAGAUAAAAUCUGUUUUGCCACCCUGUCUGUAAUCCAACCUUCCAUUUUCAGAGGAAGAAAUGAAAGUCUAAGGCAAGGAUGUGACUUAACACAGGAACUUGCAGCAAGUUAGCUGCAAAUCCAGAAUUCAAAACUAGCUUUCUGCCUCCCAAUCUAACACGCCUUCUAUGGGACCACUGUAUCUUGUCUCUUUUGACACCACUAGAGAAAGCCCUUCACAGAAGAUUUGGUGAAGACCCUUUCAAAGAGUGACUACUACAUAAAUGGUUUAAUCACA